AAUGAACGCUGGCGGCAGGCCUAACACAUGCAAGUCGAACGGAUCCUUCGGGAUUAGUGGCGGACGGGUGAGUAACGCGUGGGAAUAUACCCUUUGGUACGGAAUAGCCUCGGGAAACUGGGAGUAAUACCGUAUGUGGUCGAGAGACGAAAGAUUUAUCGCCAAAGGAUUGGCCCGCGUUGGAUUAGGUAGUUGGUGGGGUAAUGGCAUACCAAGCCGACGAUCCAUAGCUGGUUUGAGAGGAUGAUCAGCCACACUGGGACUGAGACACGGCACAGACUCCUACGGGAGGCAGCAGUGGGGAAUCUUAGACAAUGGGGGAAACCCUGAUCUAGCCAUGCCGCGUGAUCGAUGAAGGCCUUAGGGUUGUAAAGAUCUUUCAGGUGGGAAGAUAAUGACUGUACCACCAGAAGAAGCCCCGGCUAACUCCGUGCCAGCCGCCGCCGUAA
rnacentral:rRNA from 1 species